GGCGGAAGUGACUGAUCAAUUCAGGGGCGUGGGGUUCGUUUAGGUUUUGCCCUGUGUAUGACCUCGUUUGGAGCCAUGAAACCAGAGAACUUGAAUACAGCAAUCAACAGAUGUCACUAUUGACCUCUGAAAAUAAAGGAGGAAGAGGAGAAAGACAGUGUGGAGGUGGGAUUGGACAAAGGCAUGAUCCUUGGAGGAAAGGUUAUUUUAGGGCAAUGAUGGAAAGCACCAAGUGGAGUCUGGAGCUAGACUGAUCUGUGUUCAAUCCUGUCUUGGUUACUCAUUGGGGGGCCUCGACUUUCAUGUCUCUGUAAUGUCCCUGACAGUAUCUGCCUCACAGGGUUGCUGUGAGAGUCAAGCGAGAUGUCUGAGGAAUAGUCUUAGUGGAUUAUCCCAAACUUGACACAUUUUUUGCAAAAUGCUAUACAAAAAGAAGAUACAUGCGAUUAUGACAAGAUUCUCCACUUGGUGUGACCAGUCUCAUACAACCCAAGGCUGUGUGUCCAAAGGCAACUGUACUGAUCUUGACAAUAAUCAAAAGGUAGCCAGGUGCAUCGG
rnacentral:lncRNA from 10 species